CUGGAGAUUUUCUAUUGUAUGUGUUCCGUAUAGUUUUUUGAAAGAAACUAUUACUGCUUAUCAGAUAUUAUUUCAUAUUUAUUCAUUCUUCAGUGAAAAUGUAUUGAAUCUGAAAACGCUAAUCAAUCUGUUGUCUUAUUACAUGAUGUUUGGAAUGAACAUGUGGAAAAUGAAAAAUUUCAUAAAGAAAUACUGUACAUGCAGUUUAUAUCGAUGAGGUUUCAGACUACCAAGUUGCAACUAUCGGGAUAUGGAUUUUUCCCAUUGAAUAAAACUUUUUUACAUUCUUUUGUAGCUGCUGGUGCAACGUAUAUCAUAAUUCUCAUCCAAUUAUCGCAUUGAAACAAUCUUGUGUGUACCUUUAAACAUCUGAUUGAUGAUCAUGAAUAACCAU